rnacentral:rRNA from 1 species
UCCCGCCGGACCUGACUGCUAUCGGAUUGAUACUAAGCCAUGCGAGUCUUUGUAGUAAUACAAGGCAGACGGCUCAGUAACACGUAGUCAACCUACCCUAUGGACAAGAAUAAUCUCGGGAAACUGGGCAUAAUUCUUGAUAGAUCAUAAUGCCUGGAAUGGUUUAUGGUUAAAAUGAUUCGUCGCCAUAGGAUGGGACUGCGGCCUAUCAGCUUGUUGGUGAGGUAAUGGCCCACCAAGGCGAUUACAGGUACGGGCUCUGAGAGGAGAAGCCCGGAGAUGGGUACUGAGACACGGACCCAGGCCCUAUGGGGCGCAGCAGGCGAGAAAACUUUGCAAUGUGCGAAAGCACGACAAGGUUAAUCCGAGUGAUUUCUGCUAAAGAAAUCUUUUGACAGUCGUAAAACCGCUGGUGAAUAAGGGGUGGGCAAGUUCUGGUGUCAGCCGCCGCGGUAAAACCAGCACCUCAAGUGGUCAGGAUGAUUAUUGGGCCUAAAGCAUCCGUAGCCGGCUUUGUAAGUUUUCGGUUAAAUCCAUGUGCUCAACGCAUGGGCUGCCGAAAAUACUGCAUAGCUAGGGAGUGGGAGAGGUAGACGGUACUCAGUAGGUAGGGGUAAAAUCCUUUGAUCUAUUGAUGACCACCUGUGGCGAAGGCGGUCUACCAGAACACGUUCGACGGUGAGGGAUGAAAGCUGGGGGAGCAAACCGGAUUAGAUACCCGGGUAGUCCCAGCUGUAAACGAUGCAGACUAGAUGAUGCAUUGGCAUAAUAGCCAUUGCAGUGUCUCAGGGAAGCCGUUAAGUCUGCCGCCUGGGAAGUACGUACGCAAGUAUGAAACUUAAAGGAAUUGGCGGGGGAGCACCACAAGGGGUGAAGCCUGCGGUUCAAUUGGA